AAAUGCGAUAAGUAAUGUGAAUUGCAGAAUUCAGUGAAUCAUCGAAUCUUUGAACGCACAUUGCGCCCGCCAGUAUUCUGGCGGGCAUGCCUGUUCGAGCGUCAUUUCAACCAUCAAGCCCCCGGCUUGUGUUGGGGACCUGCGGCUGCCCGCAGGCCCUGAAGAACAGUGGCGGGCUCGCUGUCACACCGAGCGUAGUAGCAUACAUUCUCGCUCAGGGCGUGCUGCGGGUUCCGGCCGUUAAACGACCUUCAUAACCCAAGGUUGACCUCGGAUCAGGUAGGAAGACCCGCUGAACUUAAGC
rnacentral:misc_RNA from 1 species